GUGAGGAAUAUUGGGCAAUGGGCGAAAGCCUGACCCAGCCACGCCGCGUGAGUGAUGAAGGCCUUCGGGUUGUAAAGCUCUGUGGGGAGGGAAGAAAAAGCGCAGGAGUAACUGCCUGUGUGUUGACGGUACCUCCUUAGCAAGCACCGGCUAACUCUGUGCCAGCAGCCGCGGUAAUACAGAGGGUGCAAACGUUGCUCGGAAUUACUGGGCGUAAAGCGCGUGUAGGCUGACAUGCAAGUCGGGUGUGAAAUCCCAGGGCUCAACCUUGGAACUGCACUCGAAACUGCACGUCUUGAGUACUGGAGAGGGAAGCGGAAUUCCGGGUGUAGAGGUGAAAUUCGUAGAUAUCCGGAGGAACACCAGUGGCGAAGGCGGCUUCCUGGACAGUAACUGACGCUGAGACGCGAAAGCGUGGGGAGCAAACAGGAUUAGAAACCCGUGUAGUCC
rnacentral:rRNA from 1 species